UUCUCAUAAACUCUCCCCUGUACUUUCCAAAACCCUAACCCCUAAAUUCAUCAUCACCUCCACAUAACCUACAACAACUUCACCAUCUUUACAACCUAUAACUUCACCAGAGUUCACAGUUACUUUUGAUUGUGCAUAAACCCACCAUCGUUGCCAUAGAUACGACCACCUCCUAUACAACCAUCCAAACAACUCAAAUUCACAAGCUUUUGUAAAAAGAUCAGAUUUGCAUAGACACAAACAACAACAUGGGUCGAUUCCAAUAUCUGGAGGCGGUGCUGCCGCUAGGGAUUAUCGCCGGCAUGCUCUGCAUCGGCUGAAACGUUCAGUAUCAAAUCCACAAAGCUGCACACGGUCGCCCGAAACACAUUGGCAAUGAUGUGUGGGAUGUUGCAAUGGAACGGCAGGACAAGAAAAUGGUUGUUGACAAAUUUUAACUUGCCAGUGAUUAGGGUUUCUUCUUACAAGGUUCAAUUUUUUUAUUAUUUAUGUAAGAUAUUAGGGUUUUAUUUGAUGAUUUGUGCAGAUCCGUUGUGUUUUUAGGUGUAAUAAGACUUAUUGUGAUUUAUAGUAGCAAUAAGAUGUUCGAAACAGACAACUCCAUUGGAGAAGAUGAUUGUGGGGAAGAUGAUCGCAGUUGGCGAUUUUGGGGGAAGAUUAUUUGGGGAAGAUGAAGGGGGGGGUCCGUCGCAAAACCUCCGCAAAAUUCUGCCCCCACCGCCGCUGUGAGUGGCGGCGCCGCCUCCCGCCGUCGCUGGUGCACCACCUGGAGAUAAGAAGAGAUGAAGAGAUGAAGUCUUUGAAGAGAGAUAGAGAGAGUUCUGUUAAUUCUGUAUGUGUGGGUGUAUAUAUAUUAUAUAUAAUUUUUUUAGGUAUUAAAUAUAUACAAUUAAAUAUAAUAA